rnacentral:rRNA from 1 species
AUUGAACGCUGGCGGCAGGCUUAACACAUGCAAGUCGAGCGGGGUGAUGGUGCUUGCACUAUCACUUAGCGGCGGACGGGUGAGUAAUGCUUAGGAAUCUGCCUAUUAGUGGGGGACAACAUCUCGAAAGGGAUGCUAAUACCGCAUACGUCCUACGGGAGAAAGCAGGGGAUCACUUGUGACCUUGCGCUAAUAGAUGAGCCUAAGUCGGAUUGGCUAGUUGGUGGGGUAAAGGCCUACCAAGGCGGCGAUCUGUAGCGGGUCUGAGAGGAUGAUCCGCCAGACUGGGACUGAGACACGGCCCAGACUCCUACGGGAGGCGUCAGUGGGGAUUAUUGGACAAUGGGGGGAGCCCUGUUCCAGCCAUGCCGCGUGUGUGAAGAAGGCCUUAUGGUUGUAAAGCACUUUAAGCGAGGAGGAGGCUCUUUUGGUUAAUACCCAAGAUGAGUGGACGUUACUCGCAGAAUAAGCACCGGCUAACUCUGUGCCAGCCGCCGCCGUAA